rnacentral:tRNA from 1 species
GUAUCGGUGGUUCAGUGGUAGAAUGCUCGCCUGCCGGGCGCGCUCCGGGUUCGAUUCCCGGCCGAUGCA